UUCCUACGGGGGGCAUCAGUGGUGGAUAUUGCACAAUUUAUUCCACUCUGAUGCAGCGACGCCGCGUGAGGGAAGACGGUCUUCGGAUUGUAAACCUCUGUCUUUGGGGAAGAAAAUGACGGUACCCAAAGAGGAAGCUCCGGCUAACUACGUGCCAGCAGCCGCGGUAAUACGUAGGGAGCGAGCGUUGUCCGGAAUUACUGGGUGUAAAGGGAGCGUAGGCGGGCGAGAAAGUUGAAUGUUAAAUCUACCGGCUUAACUGGUAGCUGCGUUCAAAACUUCUUGUCUUGAGUGAAG
rnacentral:rRNA from 1 species